AUUUCUGCUGAUACCAACAGUGCAUCCGGAAAAGUAUAUACACUGCUUCACUUCUUACACGUUUUAUGUUACAGCCUUAUUCCAAAAUGGAGUAAA